AUGUGACCUUCAGCUUCACUGAGUGGAUGUGGGGUCUCCUCUCCCAGGAGAGACCAUCCCAAUUAAACCUCUCCCGGGACUUUCUAACAAGGCUGGAUCAGGAGUCUGGGCAGAAGCUGUGCCAUCAGGGCUGGCCUGGGGUCUGGUCUUCCCCCCAGAUCCCAGAGGUGGCCUCUUUGUCAUCGGGGAGCAAGCCUUUCUCCAGGGCUUGCAUGCCAGGCCCUGCCAGAGGUGGCCUCUUUGUCAUCGGGGAGCAAGCCUUUCUCCAGGGCUUGCUUGCCAGGCCCUGCUCGUCUGUUACACUCAACAUCAGGGCUCCAGGUCCUAACAGCCGUGCCAAGAGGUGGGCAGUCCUAGUCCCAUCUUCAAGAUGGGGCUUCUGCGGGUCAGGGAGGAUAAGUGAAUUGACUAGAAUCUCAACAGCCAGUAGGGAGAGGACCUGGGGUUUGAACCGCAGUCAGCCUGACACCAGAGCUUGUGUAUCUCCCCGGUGCGCCCCCCUGUGGAUGAAGAGGGCCCUGCUCUGGGGCGCCUCUACCGCAGCACAGAUGGAGGGCCAGGGCCUAGGCCGGGUUUGGCACUUGGGGCCAGGCCGUCUUCACAGAUGGGUCAGGACAGAUCCUUCCUGCUUCUAGAUGGUGCUCCUUGGGCUGUCUUUCUGGAUAUGCCCAGUUCACGACUCGGCAGUGCAUGUCUCAUCACAUCAGGGCCCCGGCUUGUCCCCGCCGGCACUGCCCAGCAACCCACAGCGAACUUUGGUGUCCCGCAGAGGAGCAGACUCAGCGGGUGGUGGUGGUGAAUCCCAGCCUCAGGGGGGCCAGAAGGGAGGGAACUCUUCUCCGGAGACUGUUAGCUGGUUAAAACUGCUGCACAGUGACUGUGUUAGUAGGCGCUGUUAGCCCAUUUUACAGAUGGUGACACUGAGGCCCACAGAGCUUAUGUGACCUGCCAGCCUCCCACAGCUGGUUGGAGGCAGGCCUGGGAUUCAGAGUCUGUGUUCUCCCCUGUCCCAGGAUGGCCCUGCUUCUCCGCAGAUUACUUGGAACAUUUGGACAAUGACCUUGCUUCCUUAGGAACCUCUGAGCCCGGCACAGAGUGACCUUAGUCGAGUGCCCAGUACAUGGAGCCUGGGUCAGAUUGGUGCUUUUGCUUCUAGCCAGGACUUGUGUGGGCUGUGUCACAAGUCCCUGUUGCCAAGGAACAGUUCUGACUGCACCUACCGAGCUCCAGCUUGGGGUAGGGCCUCCAGGACCUGUCUUAACCUCUUCACAGUCCAGGGUAGUGGGUCUCAGUGCCCUGGAAGCGCCUGGGCCAGGUUUGUACCACACCAGGAGGACAUGGCAAGUCAGAACUAGAAGCCAGGGAGGGUUCCUGGAGGAGAGGGGUGUUCCCACUGGGCCUUAAAGGAGGGGAGGAAGGUUGGAGACUGGCUUCGCUAGCCUGGGUGCCCCGAGAGGCCAGGGCCGGGGUCUGAUUCACCUGUGGCUCCAGUGCCCAGCUUAGCACAGAGUGGCCAUCAGUAAGUCCGGUCAGCCCAUCAAAAAGGACAACCAGCCCGGUUUCUUAUGAGACCCUGCUGAGAGCCUCAGGUCAGCAGGCGAGUCUGGAGCACCCACAGCCCAGUGAUCCAUGCUGCAGGUUAUCUGUUCUAGAGGUGAAGCCUCCCUGUGGCUGACUUCCCCAUGCCCACUGGGCCUGGCUCUCUGUCACACAGCCCUGGCCUUACACACCCCGCCCAGCCUGACUGGGUAAAACUUGGGUGGUCCGCUCCUCUGCCCUGACCCAAGAGCUUAAUUUUCAAAAUGUCUUUAAAGCGGGAUUCUAGAAUGUUAGAUCUGGAAGAGCCCGUCGGUUCUCCAGCCCACUCUCCUGGCUCACAGUCAGGGACUGAGGUCCGUGGAGGGGCGGAACCUCCCCAGGCCACGUGGGCAGUUGUGAAGCAGAGCUGAGAUUGGAGCCUUAUUCUCCUUCAGGGGCCCCACGCCCCAUCCUCUACCCACCCCAUGGAAGGGAGAGAGCAUUGCCUUCCCUGGUGUGCUGGCGGCGGCAGCCCGGGCUCGAGGUCUGCUUGUGGGGAAGUGGAAGUGAUUACCACAAGAAGAGGCUGGAGAAAGGGCCUCGGUGAAUUCUCAAGCAUGUAAUGAGCAUCAACUCAUCACCUGUCUCUUCAUUCCCCCUCGUCGAGGGCCCCAAGGUCUCAUCUGCUGCUCGGGCUGCUGGCACAGAUGCCUGGAAGAGAGAGCAGAGAGCUGAUUAUGAGCACGGUCCCAAGAGCCCAGACUGGGUUUGAAUCUCAGAUUUGCCACUUAUUAGGCAUGUAAAUGACUGAAGAGCAAAUGACUUAAUAGCCCGGGUCUCAGUCUACUCAUGUAUAAAAUAGGACGAUAACGACACUGUCCACAUGGGAAUGUUGUGAGGAGUAAAUGAGUCAGUGAGUUAGUGCAGGUGAGGUGCUAUGCACAUGGGCCACUGUGGCUGUCACUUUGUUCUUCCUGUUGCUGUGAGGGCUGCUCUGUGGUGCAGGGGCCCAAUCGGUCUCACCGCAGGGUCACGUCCCACAGGCUUCCACCCUCAGGCCACCUGAGUUCACGCUCUGGCCCCUCCCCACCAUCAAAGUGUGACCCACGGAAAAAUGCUGGAAACUUCACUGUCCAGUCAGAAUUCAGGCCAGGGAAUAUUCCAUUCUAGCUGUUUCAAGUAGGAAAUAAACUUUCUACUGAAGAGAUUCCACUCACGGGACGAUUGGAAGGGCUGGGGGUGUGAAGGAGGCCCCUGCAAGGGUUUGGGGAAUCAGAAAAGGUUGGAGCUGAGGGACCUGCCGCCAGUGGCCGGGGAGCCACUGCUCCUGCGCUUCUGUGGGAUCUGAUCUCACCCGCAGGAGCUGAUUCGAAACCAGUGGCCAGGAAGUGGGAAAGUGGUUCGCAGGCAUCCAGCCCCCGAGAUGCGGGAGGGCACAUGGACAGGAGGCGGAAUGGUGCGGAGGCGCCCUGACAUCCUCCCUCUCCUGACAGUUCUGGGAGAAGCUGGGGUGUUUGGGCCAAAGAAAACCUCACUGCCAUGAGGACUGGGUCGGGAGUGGUAUCUUCAGUCCUCAUACCAGCCAUGUGAGAGCCCAGACUUGGAAACUGAAGUGACAGAACCAGGGCAGGACCCCAGGUCUGCCUGCCCAUCAGCCUGGGCCAUGCUCCGAGAUGCUCCCUGAGCUAGGCUGGGCAUCCAGAGGCAUUCCUUCAGCACCCAUUGACUGAUCACCCACUGUGUGCCACGCUGGGUCCCCCAGUGCUUGGAACAUGGCAGAAAACCGAAUGACAAAGAUCACAUCCCGUGGAGGGGAAGUCCAGUGGGAAGGGGGAUGCUGACCUUUCCCCUUCCCCAAAUAUAGAGAAAUAAUCUCUGGUUCUCAGUACCACGAAGGGAAACCUGCCAGGGGAGGGGACUGGGGGUGAGGGUUGUUUGAGGAUAGGCCUGUCGGCAGUAAGAAGAAAGAGCACCAGGGACAGAGGAGGCUGCAAGCGCAUCCCCAGGCAGGCAGAAGAGUGGAAUGUGCGAGAACAGAAGGGGCGAGGAGAUGCGUGUGGGCGGAGGAGAGCUGAGGUAUGUGGUCUGAGAGUCAGUCGGCUGCUCAACCUCGGGCCAGGACAGGGGUUUUGACUUGCGUCUGAGUGAGAUGGAGUCGUCGGAAGGUUCUGUGCAGGAAGAGAUGCGAAAUCACAGAGGCUGCUCAGAGAGGGUGGGUACAGAAAGCUGCGGGUAUGGCAGUCAUGCGGGGUCAGGCCCAAGAGAAAGGGCUCGGAGCUGGGAAAGAGGAGGGUGGAAGCUCGGCCAUGGGAUGCACUUCCUCCCUCUCUGUUUUCCAGAGGCCCAGGUGUGGGGAGCCUGGGUCCAGGGUUUGUGUAUCCUUGUGUGGUGUGGAGGGCUGGCACCUCUAAGUCCCUCCAGUCGUGAGGCUGUGGUGUGAGUGUCCCUGGGUGCACAUGUGUCAUUCCUCCGGGCAUGUGGAGCCAGUGCAUGUUAGCUCUGUGGUCUGCGUUGCUCCGCAGGCAUGCAUAUGUGACCAUGAGCCUAUGGACGUGUGACCUGGGGAGAGCGGGCUUGUGAAUUUCUUUGUGCAUGUGUGUGGGUACCUGCUUGUCUGUAGGAGGCAGCAGUGGGGAAUGUCUGAUUUUGGCCCCGUCACCGUCAGGGUGCUCUGUUGCUUGAUGCUCUGCAGAGCUCAGCUCUCAUUUGUAUAGCAGAUCAAAACAGAUGCCCCUGAGACCCAGUGGAGUUGAUGUGUGCUCUUUGGGGAUUUGGGUUGAGGGUCUGCCCUGUGGGGACAUCUGACAGCUGAAGUAGCAAGGAUGCCCAGCCCCUGGUUCCCACAGCGCUGUGCUUUAAAGCGCAGAGACCCCCUCCUUCCCUGGGGAUCAAGCUGGACCAGGGCUUUCACCACUCAGGAAGACUGUCUAAAGUAUGGGCUCUGCCAGCCCUCUGCCAGUAAGAGAUUCCUAAACCUGGAGGCCUUCCGGACAAGCCAGGACAUCAGCACUGUGGAAAACAGAGAGUUAGGUGUCAGAGGGACCUGGGUUCAAAUCCUACUCUGUCACUUACUACACAUAGUCACUAGUUCAUAGCCUUGGUCAAAUGAUGGCUCAAUUUCCUCUCUGUAGAAUGGGGCCCCAUCUCAGGAUAGUAUCAUGAAGAUUAAAUGAGCACUUUUUAUGUGCCAGGCCCUGUGCUAAGGGCUUUGCAUGGAUCACCUUAUUAAAUGCUCACGCUAACCCUCUAAAGUGGAUGCUGUCCUCAUUUUACUGAAGAAGAAACUGAAGCCCAGAGAGGUGAAGUUACUGGCCCAGGGUCAUUCAGCUGGGACUGGGAGAGCCUGGCUUUGAACUAGGCAGUCUGGCUUCAAAAGCAGCAGCAUGAGGCAGUGAAUAUAAAGCCUAGUGCCUGACUCUAGCAGGUGUCUGGUCCAUGGUGGUUGUUAUUCCUGAUGCCAUUGGGAGAUUCAGGAUCAGGUUCCUGACCCCCAGAAUAGCUCUGGAUUCUCUUUUCUCCUUUUACAGUUGCAGAGACCAAAGGCCACCGGGAAGGGCAAGUGAGGCCUUUCUUCCUCUUCCGAGAGCAGGGCUGAAGGGCAGAGGCCAAGGCCCCCUUGGUUAGCAAACCCCAGUUACAGGGCUGGAGUCUUUGCUGCCCCUCCUGGUGUGGGGAGGCCAUUUGUUGCCAUCAGGUGAGGCAUUGGGGCUGACCUGAGGCACAGACCAGAGGAGGGCCUGACAGGGUGGCCCGGGGCCAGUGCUUGGGCUCUAAGAACAGAGCAACUUCUUCCAAAAGCAUGGCUGUAGGACGCAUGGGUUGGGGAGACCUCAGCGGGGCCUUGGGUGCUGGCCCAGUGGCUCUGGCUCAUGGUUAUACCUUGUGGGCACAGCAUUCAGUCACAGCCCUGCUGAGUCACCCCCAGUGCCAUCUCAGUUCCACUGCCCGGGGAAGAUCAGGGGAGAGAAUGUCUUGAAUGCUGCUUUAUCGCAAUAAGUUUGUCGAUUCAGCUCAUUACAUUUAAUUAGAAUUAUUUAAUUAGAAUCUUAAUAAAAGAGUAAAACAGGAAGGAGGCUGAGAAGCGGAGGUAAGGAAAUCCAUGCUGAGCGUAUGAAGCAGACCCAGCUGGGUGGUGGAGGGGCAGCGGCAGGGGUGGCGGGGGGGCUGCCAGGAGGUUUGCCUGGAAGGCUGGGUAGAGGGGUCUGUGUGCCUGGACCACCAGGCUCCAGGGAUCUGGCGGUGAGGAGAGGGGAGCGUGCUGAGGGCCUGGGGCUGGGCUCUUGCCCACCCACUCUGUACCACGCAGCUUGGCAUGCUGGGUCCUGGGCUGAGGCCGCUGGCCUGGGGAGCUGUAGGACCCAUUUCCCGAUCUCAAGGGAAGCAGACAAGAAGCCAGACAGUCAGAAGGCCCAGUGCCCUUGGCUCUGAUGGGGGCGGCAGAGGUCACUGCACCAGCCCUGGGUGGAGUAUCUAACUGGGCUGGGGUUAGAAAGCUUUCUAGAACAUUGAUGCCUGCCUGCAGUGACACCUGAACAUGGAGUUGCAGUUAAGGCGAGAAAGGGAAGCGCUUCAAGUGGGUUUGAGGGGGUCGCUCUCGUGGUGAGCAGGGUGGAGUUGGGGUUCGGAGCAACGACCUGGAGCCGGUGGCUGCUUCCCCCUCAAGGCACCAUGGGCUCUGGCAAGUUACCCCCCCGCCCCAGCCUCGUUUUCCUCGUCUGUGAAUGAGAGCAACGCCCCCAUCUGGUAGGGCUCUUGUAUGAGCUCAGCUGAUACAUGGACAGCACCGGAAGAGCAGCCGGGCCACGGUCAAUGCUAUGUGCACUGGCUCUUAGACGUCCCUUCUUGUCCAAGGAAAGACAUCCAGGGGGUGGUCAGUUACAUAUGUUUGGGUGGGGACCAGGUUCUGGGGGUCAUCAAUGAAGCCACCAGUGUGAGUAGGCACCUCAAGAGAGAAUGGGGGUCACUGCUGCCAUCUGUCGCCUCCAUUUUCUCUUUCCUCACUCCCAGGAAGACCGUUUUGUUCAGAGAUCUGCCCCCAGCAGAGCCCUCGCUUUUCAGGACAGCUGACCCCACAGCCCAGCUCCAGAGAGGAGGGAUCUGGAGAGACUCAGCCAAGUCUGGCCGUGACAUUCCCUUGGUGCCGGUUCUCCACGAGGCUGGAGAGCCGGCCUGGUUCUAUGGUCAGGGGAGAUUUGUCCUCUCCUCCCUCCCCCUUCCCCAUUCCUCCCCCUUCCCCCCCUCCUUUUCCCCCUCUUCCUCUCCCUCCCUGGCACAUACUCAAAGAGGCAGGUGGCUCCAUUGCCACCCCUUAGGGAAUCAGAGCUAGGAUGAAGCCAGGGGUGUGCUGGCAUACCACCUCUCCAAUU
rnacentral:lncRNA from 1 species